AGUGGAAUAGCUGGGUCAAAUGGUGGUUCCAGUCCAAGUUUUCUGAGGAACUUCUAUACUGCAUUCCAGAGUGGUUGCACCAAUUUGUAGUCCCACCAACAAU
rnacentral:pre_miRNA from 1 species